rnacentral:lncRNA from 1 species
AAUUUGUGUUCGAGGAAAAAGAUUUCAAGCUUGUCGGGUUUUGUGGUCGGUCCGGUGAUGCUAUCGAUGCUCUUGGUGCACAUUUUGCGCCUCUUCCACCUCCACCUCCAGCUCCUACUCCGGAUCCCGCUACCUCAAAGAUGGGACCGCUAGGUGGUGACAAGGGAAACACAUUUGACGAUGGUGUUUUGGAUGGUGUGAAGAAAGUAACCAUUGGAGCAGAUGAAUACAGUGUAACUUAUAUCAAGAUCGAAUACGCAAAUGAUGGAAACGUCGAAAUCCGUGAACAUGGGACAAAUAGAGGGGAGCUAAAAGAGGUCAGAUAUAUAAAAACAUACGUUUUUGAUAUAUAUUUUUGUUAAUAUACAAUUGAUUCACUAUUAAUUAGUGGUUUUGAAUUUAAAAUGAAAUACAGUUUUCGGUGGCUUAUCCGAAUGAAUAUAUCACAGCCGUUGGUGGAAGCUACAAGCAUAUUUUCAACUAUGAUACAACACUUAUUACAUCACUGUACUUCACAACUUCCAAAGGAUUAACCUCUCCAUUAUUUGGUGAGAUAAAGGGAAGAGAAUUCGAGUACAAAGAUGAAAAUGGAGGAAAUCUUGUUGGAUUCCAUGGACGUGGUGGUUAUGCUAUUGAUGCCAUUGGUGUACAUUUUGCUCCAGCUCCAAACUCUUCUAUACCAACUCCUCCCAACAAAUUGUCCAAGGUCUACAUUACAUCUGGUAAUGAAGGAAUUGAGGAAAUCAAUUUCUAUAAUGUAGAAAACGGAGUGACAAAGGAAGUGUUUCUUCAUGGUGUGAAGGGUAAAAAUCUCAUUUCUACGGUGCGUUACAUAUUUACAACAUAUUUUUAUUUAUACAUUAACUACUCACAUUUUUAUCUAAGUUUUCCAUUUAAUUUCUCCAGCUUGUUAUAAGCAAUCCUCCUGAUGAGUGUCUCGUUUCUGUCGAGAGUUGGUAUAGUUCUUACAAUGUUUCUCAAGGAAUUAAGUUUAAAACCGAUACGAACGGUUCUAAUUUCUUUGGAUAUAAGUUUUCUGAGGAUACUGGUAGACCAUUUUCUCUCCAAGUCAAGGGUAAGAAGAUCAUCGGCGUUCAGAAGUUCCCUGACUCGAAUCUCAUAUCUCCUGGAACGUACUUUGUACUAUCCCGUUCCUCUUCUCCCGACAAAGUGGAAGCUAUAGGAGGAAAGGGUGGAGAAACAUUUGACGACGGUGCUUUUAAUCAUGUAAGAAAAGUUUUUGUUGGUAAAGGCGAUUCCGGUAUAGCUUAUGUCAAGUUCGACUACGAAAAAGACGGCAGAAUAGUGACACAGGAGCACGGACAAAAGACAUCUCAAGAAACGGAGGUGUUCGAGAUAGGUCAAGACGAUGACAUCACAUCUGUGAAAGCUUACUACGAAACACUCGAUGGCUCGAAGACAGAAACUAUAACGUAUCUUGCAUUCAAGACUCUGAAGGGCAUUAACUCUCAGCCGUUUGGAAAGACCCCUGUUAUUGUAAAUGAGAAUACAAAAUUGUCUUUGCUUGAAGGUGGCAAAAUCACUGGUUUUCAUGGAAGCUCGACGGACGUUCUUCAUUCUAUCGGAGCUUAUAUUUCGGCUUCUCCGCCGACCAUGUUGCAUGGCAAGUGGAUCCAGGUACGUCCGUAGAAUGGAUGGUAAUACGGAUCGGUAUGGUUAGACAUAUUCAAUUUUUUCGAUCAUUCGGUUAGGAGAUUUCAUAUUUCAGUAGAAAUCAAUCAGUUCAGUUCGUCUUUAGUUUUUAAAACAUAAAAGUAAAUAUUAUUUUGUUACAAAAUAUAUUAGUAUGCAAAUUUGUUGUAUUAUAUCAAGUUUUCUUAUAGGUUCUGGUUCAAAAUUCAAAAUUCUCGUAUAGAUUUUGGUUCAAUUCAUAUAUUCUUUAAAUAGACCUAGUGCGUAGUAAAACUUCUGUGAAAAAAUGAUUAUUGUUUCAUGUGUAACCGUGACAUUAAUUGUGUUAAGAAACAUCUGGUGACUAUCAUUACUAGGUGGAACAAAAUGGAAAGACUCCUGGACCAAGAUGUUCUCAUGCUAUAGCAAUGGUUGGAAACAAAAUGUACUCUUUCGGAGGAGAGUUAAAGCCAAAUUUUCACAUCGAUCGAGACCUCUACUUCUUCGAUUUCGAGACUCGCCGAUGGUCGAUCGCUGAUCCAGACGGUGAUGUCCCUGAGCUCCCUUGCUUAGGCGUUUGCAUGGUAGCUAUCGGCACUACACUCUAUGUCUUUGGUGGCCGCGACGGCUUCCGUAAUUACAAUGGCUUCUACUCUUACGACACGGUUAAAAGCGAGUGGAAACUCAUAACUCACGUCAACAAUGGACCUGCACCGCGUAGCUUCCACUCGAUGGCUGCUGAUGGCAAUAAUAUUUAUAUCUUUGGUGGAGUGACUACUAAGGAACGUGUCAACACACUUCAUGCUUACAACAUCGUUGAUCAAAAGUGGACUGAGCUUCCGAAUCCAGGAGAGUCUUGCAAAGGGAGAGGUGGAGCGGGGCUUGUGGUUGUGCAAGGGAAGAUUUGGGUUGUGUAUGGGUUUAUUGGGGAAGAAGUAGAAGAUGUUCAUUGCUUUGAUCCAGUUGAAAGUAAGUGGACUAAAGUGGAAACAAGGGGUGAAAAGCCGUGGGCGAGAAGCGUGUUUGCACUAGCGGUCGUUGGGAAAUACAUAAUUAUAUCCGGAGGUGAGAUCGAGAUGGACGUAAAGGCUCAUUUGGGUCCGGGGUCAUUGACCGGUGGGGCUUUUGUGUUGGACACUGAGAGUUUGGUCUGGGAGAAACUUGAGGAAGGUCAUAGCCCUCGUGGUUGGAUCGCAUCCACGACUGCAUCCAUUGAUGGGAAAAAGGGGCUGUUGAUGUAUGGAGGGAAGGCUCCGACCAAUGGUCGUUAUGAGGACAUCUAUUUCUAUGGCGUAGACUCUGCAUAAGACCGCUCGUGUUGGUGAGUUUGGUGCAUCAUGGGGAGGGUCUGGUUUGUGACUUGUGAGACUUGAAAGUUAAGAGCUACUACUACCUGCUUGUGUGUUCUAAUAAUGUCAUUUUCUGGGUGUUUGGUUUGUAUGAAUAAGAGCAUAAAUGCCAUUUCAAAUAAUAUAUGUAUGUGAAUAAAUAAAAAGAUGUUUGCAAUAAUUCAUAGCAGUAUUUUUCUCCCCUAAAUUGAAACAUUUUACUUACUGUCUUUGUCAUGAUAUCUCAUACCUGUUUUUGUCUAGAGCAGUAUUCAAACUGUAUUAAUCUCAUACUUCCCUUAGGUUUUGAGAAACUACUUCAAACAUAUGUCUUGGUCAUUAUAUUGAUAAAUGUUUUUGUGUAGAGCAAUACUCAAACUGUAUUAGUCUCAUGCUUCACUUUCGUUUUGAGAAACUUUAUGAUAUUGAUAACUGUUUUUGUGUAGACAAGUAUUCAAGCGGUAUUAUUAACAUGCUUCCCUUAAGUUUUGAAAAAAUUCAAGCUACUAUCAUUGUCAUGAUUUAGCUUCUUUUUUUUUUAUGAGCAAUAUCCAAGCUAUAUUUUUCUCAUAAUUCCCUUACGUUUUGAGAAAAUUUAAGCUACUGUCUCUGUACCUUUUCCUGCUCCUAUGGUGUUUUGUUGUUCUUGGUUUAUGAUCUGUUUCCUGUUUGAAUUAGCUAGAUUGGUUGCUUUAGUUUGUUUCUGAUUGCUAUUUUUACCACGUGCCAAUUAAUCUAAUGUCCCAAUAAUACCAUAAUCGAAUGAUAUGUCAUUGUAGCAUUUUAGGAUCGAGUCUAUAAGGAACUAAUGAUCUAUACACUACAAGAAAACUCAAGCUUAACGAGGAAAAUUAACGAGAAAAAACAAACCUCGUAAGUUUACGUCAACUUGACGAGGAUUUUACGUGAAUAACGGUAUCAUCGUUAUUUCCUCGUAAAAUAACGACAAAAACCUUUCGUCGUAAAGUCGAUGUAAUGUGACGUGUCAUUUACGUGGAAAUAACGAUGAUAUUAUGUUUCACGUACGUUCCUCGUAAAGUGGACGUAAAAUUCGCAUGUUAUUUACGAGGAAACUAUUUACGUGGAUUUAGCGAGGAAAUUUUGAAUCCACCAACUUUGUAAGUGACACACGUUUUUUUUUGCACCUAAUUAAUUUUCGUCGUAAAUUCAUAGGAAAAUUACAACUACCAGAUUCAAAAUUUCCUAUAAAUAUGGAUGUUUAAGCAUCAUUUUAAACACACCAACAACAAAAAACGUAAAAGGAAAAAAAAAUGGCUGGCUCUGGAACUAUUUACGAGUUGCGGAAGUGGAUGUAUAUGCAUAGAGAUGCUAACGGGAGAGUGACGAAAGAAUACCUUGCGGGGCUGGAGACAUUUAUGCAUCAAGCAGAUUCAACACCGCUCGCCCAAGAAAGUGGUAAGAUGUUUUGUCCUUGUCGGAAAUGCAACAAUUCGAAACUGGCAAACCGUGAAAAUGUUUGGAAGCAUUUAAUAAAUAGAGGUUUCACGCCAAAUUACUAUAUAUGGUUUCAACAUGGAGAAGGUUUUAAUUAUGAUCAGAAUGAAGCUAGUAGUAGUAAUAGCAAUUUUCAGGAAGAACCGGUUGAUCAUCAUUUGCAUAAUGAACAUAGUUACCAUCAGGAGGAGAUGGUAGAUUAUGAUAGGGUUCAUGAUAUGGUAGCUGAUGCAUUCGUAGCUCAUGAUGAAGAUGAAGAACCUAAUAUAGAUGCAAAAAAGUUUUACGAAAUGUUAAACACGGCGAAUCAACCACUCUACAGUGGUUGUAGAGAAGGUCUCUCUAAAUUAUCGCUGGCUGCUAGAAUGAUGAAUAUUAAAACUGAUCACAAUCUACCUGAAAGUUGCAUGAACGAAUGGGCUGACUUGUUUAAAGAGUAUUUGCCGGAAGACAAUGUGUCUGCUGAUUCUUAUUAUGAGAUUCAGAAACUGGUUUAUAGUCUUGGGUUGCCUUCAGAGAUGAUAGAUGUUUGCAUCGACAACUGCAUGAUCUAUUGGGGAGAUGAUGAGAAGCUAGAAGAAUGUCGAUUCUGCAAGAAGCCACGAUUCAAGCCGCAAGGACGGGGACGUAAUAGGGUACCGUACCGAAGGAUGUGGUACCUACCAAUUACAGACAUAUUGAAAAGAUUGUAUCAAUCAGAGCAGACUGCUGAGAAGAUGAGAUGGCAUGCCGAGCAUACUCAAACGGAUGGUGAGAUGUCUCAUCCAUCAGAUGCAAGAGCCUGGAAACAUUUCAACAGAGUAUAUCCGGAUUUCGCUAGCAAUAGUCGCAAUGUGUAUCUCGGACUAUGCACAUAUGGAUUUAGUCCGUUUGGAAUGUCAGGGAGACAAUAUUCAUUGUGGCCAGUCUUUCUUACACCAUACAAUCUGCCACCGGAGAUGUGCAUGCAACGGGAAUUGCUAUUCUUGACCAUAUUAAUACCUGGUCCGAACCAUCCAAAAAGGUCCCUGGAUGUUUUCUUACAACCACUGAUAAAAGAGUUGAAGGAUUUGUGGUCAACAGGGGUGAGGUCGUAUGACUGUUCAACGAAGACGAAUUUUACGAUACGAGCGAUGCUUUUGUGGACCAUAAGUGAUUUUCCUGCCUAUGGGAUGUUGUCUGGAUGGACUACACAUGGGAGAUUAGCUUGUCCAUAUUGUAAUGGAACGACAGAUGCGUUUCAACUAAAGAAUGGUAGGAAGACAAGUUGGUUUGAUUGUCACCGUCGGUUUCUUCCCAUUGGCCAUCCUUACCGAAGAAACAAGAAUUUGUUUAGGCACAAAAGGGUUGUGAGAGACACUCCUCCUCCAUAUCUAACUGGAGAACAAAUUGAAGCGCAAAUCGACUACUAUGGGGCUAAUGAAACAGUUCAUUGGGGUGGUAAUUGGCAUGUCCCUCGUAAUAUGCCUGAUUCUUACGGUGUUCAUCACAACUGGCACAAGAAGAGUAUAUUUUGGGAGUUGCCAUAUUGGAAGGAUCUUCUUCUACGCCACAACCUCGAUGUGAUGCAUAUAGAGAAGAAUUUCUUUGAGAACAUCAUGAAUACAAUAUUGAAUGUCCCAGGGAAGACAAAAGACAACAUAAAAUCGAGGUUAGACUUGCCGGAUAUUUGCUCAAGAAGCGAGUUACAUAUUAAAAGCAAUGGACAAAUUUCCGUUCCGAUAUUCAGAUUGUUUUCAGAAAAAAAGUCGGUAUUGUUCAACUGGGUGGCAUCAGAAGUGAAGUUCCCCGAUGGGUAUGUAUCGAAUCUCUCUAGAUAUGUUGAAAAGGGUCAAAAGUUCUCCGUGAUGAAGAGUCAUGAUUGUCAUGUCUUUAUGCAACGACUACUGUCCUUUGCAUUUGCGGAGCUACUUCCAACAAACGUACAUGAAGCACUUGCAGGUACGAGUGUAUUAUAUGACAAUAAUUUUAUAACGGUCUAUUUUGUAAAAUAAUAUAUGACUAACAAUGUGUUUAAUUGUUUUUGGAAUAUAAAAGGCAUUGGAGUAUUUUUCAGGGAUCUGAGCACACGCACUCUUAAAGAAGAAGUUGUGGAACAGCUUCAGGAGAACAUUCCCAUCUUAUUGUGCAACCUGGAGAAGAAAUUUCCUCCCGGUUUUUUUGACGUCAUGGAGCAUCUAGCUGUCCACCUUCCAUAUGAGGCAUUGCUUCGUGGACCUGUACAUUACGGAUGGAUGUAUCAGUAUGAGCGAGCCAUGAAAUAUUUGAAGGGAAAAGCAAAGAACCUCGCCAAAGUUGAAGGUUCUAUAAUUGCUGGAAGUUUGACGGAAGAAGUUUCUCACUUCACAUCGUACUACUUUGCGUCAAAAGUACGUACCCGGAGAAGAGCUCCAAGAAGAUAUGAUGAUUGUGGUGUUGCGCCAACAUAUGCAGUUGCUGGUGUUCCAGACAUUUUUAGCCAGAUUGGGUGACUCGGUGGGAAGUCUAAAGAGGUUUGGUGGUCGAGUGAACAAGACGCUCAUAGUGCACACACCUAUAUUCUACUCAAUUGCGAGGAUCCAUUGAUGCGUUAUUUUGAAAGGUAACAUAUAUAUGGACACUUCGAAACACAUCUAAUUAAGUAUAAUAAGUUAUAUUAAUUGGAAGAGAUUCAUUCCUAUUAUAAAAUGUGAUUUUACAGCCUAUUUGUUUCUCAAGUCGAAGAAACAUUUCCUGGUAUAUCCACAAGUGACGUAGACAAAAGGAAAGAUCAACACUUCAUAAAGUGGUUGCGAAAUCAGGUAUUAUCUCAAACUCUUUUUUCGUACAUGAUCGGUAUUUAAACAUUAUCUUUACUUUUGCAGGUUGAUUAUGACGACGAUGCAGAUUAUCCUAAAUGGUUACACGAAGUAAUUCAAUCUCCACUUGUAAAGGUCACCACAUCACAGAUGUAUUUCACGCGAGGCUAUACUUUUCACACAUAUGAGUAUGGUAGACAGCGGGCGACCAGUAACUAUGGAAUAUGUGUGAAAGGGGAAACAGAUUUCUACGGGAUCUUGAUGGAGAUUAUUGAAGUCGAAUUUCCAGGGAUACUGAAGCUGAAAUGCGUCCUCUUCAAAUGUGAAUGGUUCGACCCCGUCGUCAACAGAGGUGUUCGGUCUAACAAAUUCGGUGUAGUUGAUGUCAACGGUGGACGACGGUACAACAAAUUCGAGCCUUUCAUCUUAGCUUCACAAGCAGAUCAAGUUAGCUUCCUUCCAUACCCUCGGAUGAGAGAUUCGGGUAUAAAUUGGUUAGCUGUGAUCAAAGUUACACCUCGAGGACGAAUUAUCAGUGGAGAAGAACCACCAUUGCAAGAAGAACAGAUAAAUGAAGUCGAGGAACCUGAACAAGAAAUUGAUGACAUCCUUCUCAUUGAUCCGCAUAAUCACGAGUACGAAGAUCUUACCGACGAUGCCACAGACGAAGCUAAUGAAGACGAGUUUAAUGAAAAUGAUGAUGUUUCUAGUGAAGACGAGAAUGUUGAUGUAUCCGAUUGAUGUAUUUGAUUUUAUGUAGUUUAUUUUAUGAAUAAGAUAAUGUGGGAGUUUGAUUUAUGAAUAAGGUAAUGUGAAAGUUUAUUUUAAUUAUGAAUAAGGACUUGUGGUUUGGGGUUUGAAAUAUAUUAUAAAUAAGGUUUGAGGUGAAAGAAUAGAUUGAGGUUCAAGGGUAGAUGGGUUUGGGGUUUGGAAUAUAUGAAGUAGAAGAUAAGGAAGAUGGGGUUUGGGGUUUCGGAUUUUAGGGAUUUAAACUUAGUACUCGUUAAUUCCUCGUAACAUAGCGUGGAACUUACGACGAAAAGUAAAAUAAAUAACGCGGGGCACGCUAAUUCCACGUAAGCCAAAAUCGUCGUAAGGUUGUCGUAAGGCCACGAGGCGUUUACGACGAAAUUAAAAAAAAAUAAAGAAAGCGGGGCACGCUAAUUCCACGUAAGCCAAAAUCGUCGCAAGGUUGUCGUAAGGCCACGAGGAGUUUACGAAGAAAUUAAAAAAAAUAAAGAAAGCGGGGCACGCUAAUUCCACGUAAGCCAAAAUCGUCGUAAACGAGUCGUAAACUAACGAGGAUAUUACGACGAAAAUAUUAAAAAAAAAACUAAAAAAAAGAAGAGAAGAAAGAUACUUGAAUCACAUUUGGCGAGACUUACGUAAGUCUCGACCACAUGAGUUCCAAUAUCUUCUUCUCCUCUUUUUUUUCCAAAUAUUUCUAAAUUGAUGAAAAGCGGGACUUGCUACUUCUUCAUAGUAUAAAAACUAGUAAAAAAAGAAAAAAAGAAAGAUACUGGAAUUAUAUGUGGCGAGACUUACGUCUCGUCCACAUAAAUUCCAAAAUCUUCUUCUCUUCUUUUUUUUUCAAAUAUUUCUAAUUUGAAAAGCAUUUUGGUGAGGUGUGUGAUUUGAGAGAGGGUGUGUUUUGUGAGUUUGUGUGUGGUUUGAGAAGGAAAGUUGUGGGUAUUUAUAGAAAAUAUAAGCUCGCUAAUUCCUCGUAACACAUGUGCUCGUUAAUUCCACGUAAAGAUACUCGUCAUAAAAAUGUCGUUAACCAAAACGUGGGCCUUUGUAAUUCGUCGCUAUUUCCUCGUAAAUAAAAACGCGGGCCUCUGUAAUUCCUCGUAACUUUACGAGGAAAUGACGAGGACAAGUAAUCUUAUAUAUAUCCCCGAGCGAGCGAGCUCUUUCUUUCCUCUCCACUUCCUCUCCACUUCCUCCCUAUUUCGUAGCAAUGGUAAGUCUCUCUAAUUCCUCUCUAGUUUGAUUAGUUUAGGAUAGAUUAGGUGGUUAGUAUAGGGAAUUUAGAUAGGUUUACGGAUCUUAUGUUAUUUAGUGUUGAUUAGGUGGAUAAUAUUGGGAAGUAUAUUGUUCACGAAAAUUUAAAAAAUUAAAUUUUUUUUUUCAGGUUCGAAAAGGUAGACUUACUGCCCAUUACAGAGAGAUGUUCGGUGAGCCGGGUAGUCGUUUAGACCCGUCGUCUUCUUCAGCUCCCGGUUCUUCGGGUCAGGAGACUGUCCCCGAGACUCAGUACACUCAGAGAGUCUUUGGAUCUCCUUCUUCUAGUGCACCAUCGGUUCCUCACGUGCCUCCCCCGAUGGCUCCUCCUCCUAUGCCUCCUCCGAUGGCACCUCCGAUGCCCGCCGAGAUUCAUCCCGAUUUGAUGGUGCCUCCGAGUGCUCCUUACUCGCAGUACACCGUAGAUGACAUUCUCCGUCUGCCAGGCAGAGAAGGUUUACCAGUCAUCGACCCCGACCGACCGGACGGAACUUUGUGGUAUGUUUCAUUAUUUUUUUAUUCUUUUUAAAUUCUUUUAUAACUUUAAAAAAUAAUUUAUAUUUUAAAUUUGUAUUUUCCAGGUUUGGGAUUGACGGAUGUCUUGCAUCGGACGUAACCGACACGAUAAAAGAUUACUUCUCCAUGGCACAUCCGAACUGGAAAAAGACGCCUCACUACGUCAGAAAGACGUGGUUCAAAAUUUACGCUGUUCUAUUAAUUAAUUAUAUAUCUUUAAAUUUUUCAUUAUUUAUAUAUAUAUUUUUUUCUGAAAAAUUAAUUAUAAAUUAUUUUUUCCAACAGCAAAAAUAUAAUUGGGCAUUGGGGAUCACUGAGAGGGUGAGGAAGAAGUUUAUCGCGAAGGCGAAAGUUCGCUUGUUGGACACGAUCUCCAACUGGAAGGGUGACUGGAUCGUGAAGGGGUAUGAGCGUGGCAAACCCGUUGAGCUCACCACAGAUGUCUGGGAUGGCCUCAUCCAAUAUUAGCGUCUUCCUGAUUCCAUUAGAGUCGCCCAGUCUUGCUCUAACUCCCGUAACACAGUCGAUGAGCACGGGAACGGGCCGAUGCUUCACACUACGGGCCAAAAACCCACCCCGGUGUCCGUUUGGAAAUGGUAAUUAAAUAUUUAAUUAUAAUAAAUUUUUAGCAUAUUUUUAUAUAUAUUCUAACAACUUUCUUAAAUGUUUUUCCCGUCUCUUAUGCAACUUUACGAGAGGACCCACAAGAACAAGGCGGGCCGAUUUAUAUAUGGCAAGUCCGAGCAAAUCUACAACGAUUUGGCUGCUCGGGUUGAAGAACGCCAGACCCAGCUGACCCAGCAGUCCACCGAUGGAUUACCCGUCACCUUAUCCACACCUGAAGUGGAUAAGCUUUACGAGGAGGUAAAUUUUCUAAAAUUUUAAUUUUUUUAAUUAUUCAUUUAAUUUAACUUUAAAUUUUUACUAACAAAAUUUAUUUUUUUGUUUUUAAGGUUGUCCCUAAAAAAAAGGGACGGAAGUGGAGAUUGGUUCCGUCAACGAUGUUCCGAGAGAUACAUCGUCUUAUGUUCAGCGACGGGAUGAUGAAGUCUCUCAGCUGCGUAGGGAGUCCGAAGAGCUGCGUAGAGAGUCUACUGAGUUGCGUCACGAGUUGUGCUCGACGCGAUCUGCGUUCACAGCUCGUGUGGGUGGAGUCGAGGGCUUCUUGGACGUUGUAUCGGCCACAAAUCCGGAAUGGGAGACUUUGUUGAGGACCAUGCGACAACAAAAUCCUAUCCCAGGCGAGUCACCAACCGACGACUCACAUGCCGAGGCGGAUGUAACGGCGAGGAGUGAUGAAUUCUACCGGGCGAUUAACGACCCUUAGUUCUUUUUAAUUUCGGUUCUUGUAUUAUGAAUUCAAAACUUAUUUAUAUAUAAAAUAUUUUGGUUUUGAUUUUUUUAGAAUUUUAAUUUUAUUAAUAAUUUAAAUUAUUUUUUUAAUUAUAAUUUUUUAUAUUUCUGUAAAAUAACGAAACGAAGUAAAUUCGUAGCUAAUUUUGCGACUUCUUUACGUGGAAGCUUAACGAGGUUUUUACGAGGAAAUAUUUACAAGGAAAUGACGUGGACAAUUCACGUGGUCUUUACGAGGAAAGCUAUCAAGGUAUUUACGUUUACUUUACGAGUAUUUACUUUCGAGUUAUUUACGUGGCUUUAACGAGGAAUGGCUUUCGAGGUAUUUACGAGGAAAUUUAGCGACGUCCUUACGUGGAAGCUUUACGUGGUCUUUACGACGAAAUAUUCUUCUUCGUUUUUACGACGAAAUUAUUUCCUCGCUACGUUACGACGAAUUAGCGAGGAUAUAUGCGUUACGACAAAUGUAUAACGACGAAACGGGUUUCCUCGCUAAUUCCUCGUAACACUGCUUUUACGACGAAGUCACGAGGAAAACUGCCCUCGUAAAACUUGUGUUUUCUUGUAGUGAUAACACUAAGAAUACACAAACUUUCAUAAUCUAAACAAACAAGAAGAUGGAUGAUUGUAACAAACUAAUAUCCUAGAAAUAUAAACAAGGUGAUCUCAAAUCCAAUCAAGAAACAAGUGCAAGAACUAAACUUUCAAUCAAAUGCUAAGGAUAAAUCCAUGGGUAAGGAUAAUUGAUAUAAUGUGAUCAAGGUUCAAUCUAGGAUGUUCAAACAAAGCAAUCGACAUGUCUAUAGGUCUAGAACACUAAUAAAGAUCAUCAAUCCCAAGGUAGAGAUCCCUAUGCAAUCAUGAGUUAAACAUUCUUUCCCAUUGGUUCAAAUCUUUCAAGCACGCAUUAUGUUCAAGUCUACUAACCAUCUAGAAAUACUAAAUCAAAUCCCUUUGGUUAUUCAAACUAGAGCAAUAUUAAGUUCAUGCAACCAUUUUAACAAACACUUUUCAGGCGUAAAAUAGCUAAAUAUCAAGAUGAGGAUGAUCAAGUCAAAUCAAGCAUUAAGAACACCUAACAAGUAUAGAACAAUGCUACUCAAGCAAGAAACGUCCUAAAUAUCCACCUAAUCACCCUAAUCCACCUAACCCAUGAGUCACAAGGUGACUACUCACUAAUCUCCAUGAAAAACCUUAAACCCAUGUAAGGAUCAAGGCUAAUCAUGUUAAUGAGUAAGAAAAACACAAAUAUAAGAUGAAAUACUUCUUUAAAUUAUCAAAAAGUUCAAGCUUUUACAAGAUUAGACAAAGUCUUGAAAGAAAAUGAAAUAAAAUCUAAUAAGUAAGUCUAACAAGUAUUUAUAUAAACCUAAAAAACGAGUUGGGUCAACCCAAAAAACCUAGUUGACCCAUAAAAGGUUGGGUCUUUUCGUCUGUAGCGACCUGCUCUUGUCGCUAUGGUCUGGUCGCUACAACACUUAAAAAUAUUCCAGCUUCUUAGAACUCGUACCAACGUACACAUGUUGCUAGAGAGACUCGAAAAUCGUCCUAGCGACUUCUCCACUACACCGGGAUCGCUAUGAUAAUUGGUUGUCUCGUUCUUGGUCUUCUCGUAGCGACCACUCCUGGUCGCUACGCACAUCGCUAGGAGGACUCGCAUGAUGUCCUAGCGACUUGAUGAAGUCGCUACAGUGUUGAUAUGCCUUCAGUAUAUAGAUUAUAACUCCUUCCUUACGGCUCCAAAUGACUUGAAACCACUUCCAUUGGAAAGCUAAUUCAAUUUUUCAUGUGGUUCCAAAAGAUGAGUUUCAAAAAAUAUCUUUAAGAUCUUCAUCUAUGUUUCUUUUUCACCCCUUUGACUCAAAACCCUUCAAAUGUCUUCAAACUCACCAACAAAUAUCUCCAACUUCUGAUAUAGACAUAUACAAUGCAAUGAAGCCUAAAUAUGCCUAAAUGGUGAUAUAUAUGAUCAAUAUGUACACAAAAUGAUGGUUAAAAUCAUGCAAAUUCAUAAGAUAUCAGUUUCUAGAGAUUGACUCUCAAUCUGCUAGCUUUUGGCUCUGAUUCGUUAUCCAUUCGGUUUUGUCUCCGAGAGUUUUUGUACAAACUCGUCGGCUUAAAAUGUUCAUGUUGUGUAUUAUCUCUGCUUAUGACCCUCAAAUUCCUCCUUUGUAUGGUUUAUUUCUGUUUUAAUGGAAAUUCAGUGGAAAAAAGUUUUUGUCAUGAUACUGAUAACUGUUUUGUGUGGGGCAACACUCAAGUUGUAUUCUUUCAUUCACCAAAUAGCGUAAAAGUGACACCUUACUUGAAUAUUCUUAUUCCUUUCUUUCUUUUAUCUUUUAAAAAUGUAGAAUUCAGUUAAAUAUAAAAAAGAUUGUAAUGGCUGUAGCUAUGUUUCAAAAAUAUUCUAAGACAUUUAUGUAGAUAUUUUAAGACAUUGAUGUAGAAUUUAUAAUUUGUAUCAUUUACGUGAUGCAAACCAAGCUUCCAUAACAUCUAAUGAGUUUCUUCUCAUCUCUCAAACCUAUGAGAGCACCCUGAGAGAGGGUCUCUCAAGUAGUUUCUUGCCAAUAUAAAAAUGAAAUAUAUUGAAUAACGAAGAGAGAUGGUGAAAUGGAAAAAAGUGUUCUUUGAGAUACUCCAUCAAAAAUGCUGAGAGUCUUUUGUUUACAUGUCAUUUUCUCAUUGCCUUAGUUUUUUAUUUUGUUUUAAUUUUAUUUUGAUAAUGACAUGUUAAUGAAAAUAAUAAUAUUUAAUUUGGUUAGGUACUAUUAGGAGUAGAACCUCACCACUAGUUUGUCAACAGACUGAAUGAUGUGAUGGAUUCUUAUGGGGGUUGUGCUUACUUCUUUCAUGUAGCACAAGAUUCUCAGACAAUUUGAUUGUAAUUUUUCUGGCACGGUAAAGAAUAGUAUCUUCACCCUGAACAAUUUCAAAAUUAUCUUAGAUAAUUUUUUCAGCCAAACUACUUGAUAUAUUUCUAGAAUAUUUUUGUGCAUGUAUGAUCAAGAUUGUCAGGAAAUUUUUUAAUUUAAAUUGCAUAAAACCAUAUCCCCCUAGAGAAUACAUGAGGUCUUGUUUCUUUUAUUUUUGGAUAUCGGAAUCAUGUCCUUUUAAAGGUUUUUAACUACCUCCACUUGGAGUUGUAGAUCAUUUCUCUCACGUUUAUGUCAUUUGUAACCGAUUUCCUUCAGUUACUUUUCCCUAUCGUUAAAUGAUACGAGUUCACAUGUAAAGGGUAAGGGUAGGGCCCUAAUUUGCAAUCGCGUCCGUGCUUUUUAGUGGCUGUUCACAUUACAGGUUUUUUCUUCAUUUUUUUUUGUUUGUUCUUCUGGCUAACGGUUUUGAUUAUAAUAUAGUAAAUGUAUACAAUGAUUAUGUAGUGGUAAACUGCCACUCGGAAAAUAGGAUAAUAUAGUCCAAAAUUGUUGGUGCCGUUUAAGAGGAGUGAUAUUUAAACAAAAUUUGCAGAACUUCUUAUGCUAGAGCCCGUUGUAGUGAUGAUAACUCAACCAGUCAUCUUUGUAUUUUAACGUGAUUUAAAAGAAACAAAAAACGUGAUUAAAGGACACAAAAUUGACUGGUAUUAAUUAGUUAUAAUAUUUGAUCCAAGAAAAAACGUGAUCUAAAAGAAACAAAAACGUAAUUAAAGAACAUAAAAUUGACUCAUGUUAGUUAUAAUAUUUGAUCCAAGAAACAAUCUUCCUGUCCUGCAUGAUCAACCUGUAUAUACAUGCAACAUACACACUAUUAUUCAGGUUAAUCUAAAGUGAGCCAAUAAUGUAAUAAUGCAUAAAGUGACCAACAGAUUUUUCACCACACUCUUAAAAGCACUACAAACAAGUAAUAAUAAUUACAAAUUUUAAUUAAUCGGAUUCAAAAAUAAUAGCAAUUUUAUGGUGUUAUUAAAUUUAAAUAAUGAUCUUCCUAAAUACCAUAUCAAAAAAUAUGAAUGACAGGAAAAUAAAAACAGGUUUUCAAUCUUAAGUUAUAAAAUUUUCAUAUGAACUAAUAAACAACAUUUGAUGAUAGCGAAAAAAAAACAAAUGAAAAGUGAUUCUAAGGCACACUAACUAUAUGCUAUCACAUAAACAUACAUUUAUAUUAUAUUAAUGUGUCUUUAGCUAUAUAAAAUAUAUGAUUAACAUGAUGACAUAUAUCAACUAACAUAUGUUAUUUAGUUAACAUUAUAAUCAUACGACCAAAUGUCAAAAUUUGACAACCCUAUAUUGAAAAACAUACUCACGCCAAUUAGAAAAACCGACCUGGUCCAAUUUAACCAAUUCAAUCCAAUUUUUCGGAUAAAUUUUUAGUUGGUUUGGAUCAGUUUUAUUUGUUCUAUCGUUUUUAUUUUAGAUCGAGUCGGAUUUCAAUGCUGGAGUACUGGGUUCUGAUAUAUAUAUCUGACCUAAGAUACACCAAGAUAGUGUGUGAAUCUGAUUCAUCCCAGCUUAUCAAGCUGUAAACUCUACCACCGCAGUAUCGGAGCUUUAUUGCAUCGUAGCGGAUAUCUCCUCAUUUGCUAUUUUUUUUUUUUUCUCAUUUGCUAUUUUCUUUGAAUUCAUUUCUUUUCGUUGGAUUUCUCGUGUGAGAAACAAUGAGGCAGAUAGAGUGUUGGCAGAUUAAGUUGUAGUGACUAUCACCUAACUUUUGAAGGUUUUUAAUAUAUGAUGUGUUUCAAAAAAAGAGAGUGUUAUCUAUAUAACAUAUGUUAGUUGAUAGUUGAUACAUAUCGUUACAUAAGCCAUGUGGUUCGUGGUUAUUGAUACAUUAAAAUUUGUCUAGAAUCUAGAUCAAUAUUUUUUAGAUGUGGAACUAUGUGAUAUUUAUAACUCAUGUAGUCGGUUAAAUUAUUUUCCAAAAAUAAUACAUUUUAAAGGCAAAUUAAUAAUACUUGCCUAAAAAAUCAAAAGAAAAAUCUGAAAUGUAUGGUCGAUGGUGUGUAACGUGUGCGGGUGAUAUUUUUUAGUUUAAAUGUGACGGGUGAAACACGUCAAAACAAAAGAAGCGACAUCGAGUAUAAAUACGCACUACUCAGCGCUCAUAAUCACAUAUCACUCUCACUCGCAGCUUUUAAUCUAAGAUUAACACCCUCGAGUCUCAGGUUUCUCUCUUUAUCUCUCUCUGUUAGUACAAGUUUCCUCUUUUAUGUAUGUGAAUUCAAUCAUGUCACAGACUCAUAGGAGACAUAUUAAAAUAUUCCCCGUAAUGGAGCCUGAAAAAUGAUAUUUCAAUGGAAACAAUAUUUUAAAGGAGACAUUUACUUCAUUUUUCUUUAGUCAUAUAUAAACAGAGUUUGUGUUACUUCUGUUUCCUGUCUUGCAUCAUUUUUGCUGUUAGUUAGUGUGUUUUUGAAAGAAGAGUUUUAUUUUUAAAGGUUUUCGUUGAAGUUAGAAGAUGGAAACAAUGUCUGAAAAAGUGGGAGCGGUCGGUGGUAACAAAGGCGGACCAUUUGACGAUGGUGUCUUCGAUGGUGUGAAGAAAAUAACUGUGGGAAAAGACUUCCACAGUGUUUCUUAUAUCAAGAUUGAGUACGAAAAGGAUGGAAAAUUUGAAACCCGUGAACAUGGAACCAUUCGUGGAGAACUUCAAGAGGUAAUAGUCUAAUAGAUCCUGGCUUUGUUAUUCUUCAGUAUGUUACCUUUACUGCCUGGCGGAUCUACAGUGUGUAGGGAGGGGGCAGCUGCCCUCAGUAAAAAUAGAGAUUAAAUUAUGUGCAUAAGUAAUUCUAAUGAUUCUGCAGCUCAAAUGGUGAAAUCCUUCAUGUUGCCCCCAUUGGUGUACAGUUCGAACAGCCAACUGCUCUAAAUUUAUGUUUUCUGGUUUUAUUAUGAUUUUUUUUUUUUAUAUACCUCUGUUUUUUUUGGCCACGUGUCGUAUCCAUUGUUUUCUUUCACGUUGCAUUUACUGAUUUACUUUAGUACUUUUAUUCAUUACCUCUUUGUCAUUCAAAUUCUAUUUUAUUUUUCAAUUUUUUUUUCUUAACAACUUAUUUCAUUUUAUUUUUCAUGAACUCGUUAUAAUUCUUGAAAUUUUUUCUUUUAGUUUUAUUAGUUUAACUUUCUUUUAAAAUUUUUCUUUAAAAAUAUGAAGAUAUGUAUAUAUGUAAUAAUAUUAAAUAAAAAUAUAUAUAAUUAACUAAUUAAUUAAUUUAAUAUGCCCCCAGUCAAAUUAUUUUCUGGAUCCGCCACUGCAGUGCCUUGUACAUUUGUUUUUUUUUUACUGAACCUUGUACAUUUGUUGUUUCUAAUGGAAAAUGAAAUCUAGUUCACGGUGGAUUAUCCGAACGAAUAUAUCACAUCUGUUGGUGGAAGCUACGAACACGUUUUAAGCUAUGGAACAGUGCUGAUCAAAUCUUUACGCUUCAAAACCUCAUAUGGAAGGACCUCUCCCAUACUCGGUCAUACGACGUUGUUUGGAAAUCCAGAUGGGAGAGAAUUCUUGCUGGAGGGUAAAGAUGGUGGAAAGCUUCUAGGUUUCCAUGGACGUUCUGGUCAAGCUCUUGAUGCCAUUGGUCCUCACUUCUUCGCUGUGAAAUCCCCUCUUAAGCACUAUAACCGUCAAGGUGGGAACGGAGGGAGUGCUUGGGACGAUGGCGCUUUUGACGGUGUUAGAAAAAUACUUGUUGGCCGUGGUGGUAAAUUUGUGAGUUAUGUGAGGUUUGAGUAUGCAAAAGACCAAGGAAUGGUGCCACAUGCUCAUGGGAAGAGACAAGAGGUUCCACAGGAGGUAUUAAUUGUUAAUAUACAAUUUGCUUAGUUUCGUGUUUAUUGAGAUUUCUUAAAAAUAUAUUUCUUGGUUGCAGUUUGUCGUGGAUUAUCCUGAUGAGCAUAUUGCCUUGGUGGAGGGAACCAUCGAUGGCUAUCUUACAUCGCUUAUGUUUAAGACAUCAAAAGGAAGAACUUCCCCUGCUUUUGGAAAUGUGGUUGGUAGGAAAUUUGUGUUCGAGGAAAAAGAUUUCAAGCUUGUCGGGUUUUGUGGUCGGUCCGGUGACGCUAUCGAUGCUAUUGGCGCACAUUUUGCCCCUCUUCCACCUCCACCUCCACCUCCAGCUCCAACUCCUGCUCCAACUCCAGCUCCAGCUCCAACUCCAGCGCCCACCACCACCACAAAGAUGGGACCGCUCGGAGGUAACAAAGGAAACACAUUCGACGAUGGCAUUUUGGAUGGUGUGAAGAAAAUAAUCAUCGCA